UCCGUAGGCGGUCUAAUAAGUCAGUGGUGAAAUCCUGCGGCUCAACCGUAGAACUGCCAUUGAUACUGUUAGACUUGAAUAUAGUUGAGGUAGGCGGAAUGUGUUGUGUAGCGGUGAAAUGCUUAGAUAUAACACAGAACACCGAUUGCGAAGGCAGCUUACUAGACUAUUAUUGACGCUGAGGUACGAAAGCGUGGGGAGCGAACAGGAUUAGAUACCCUGGUAGUCC
rnacentral:rRNA from 1 species